rnacentral:rRNA from 1 species
GACGAACCGUGCGAACGUUGUUCGGAAUCACUGGGCUUAAAGGGCGCGUAGGCGGUCCAUCAAGUCUGGGGUGAAAUCUUUCGGCUUAACCGGAAAAGUGCCUGAGAUACUGAUGGACUUGAGGGAGAUAGGGGGAGCUGGAACUUCCAGUGGAGCGGUGAAAUGCGUUGAUAUUGGAAGGAACUCCGGUGGCGAAAGCGAGCUCCUGGAUCUCUUCUGACGCUGAGGCGCGAAAGCUAGGGGAGCAAACGGG